AGUGAACGCUGGCGGUAGGCCUAACACAUGCAAGUCGAACGGCAGCACAGUAAGAGCUUGCUCUUACGGGUGGCGAGUGGCGGACGGGUGGGGAAUACAUCGGAAUCUACUUUUUCGUGGGGGAUAACGUAGGGAAACUUACGCUAAUACCGCAUACGACCUACGGGUGAAAGCAGGGGAUCUUCGGACCUUGCGCGAUUGAAUGAGCCGAUGUCGGAUUAGCUAGUUGGCGGGGUAAAGGCCCACCAAGGCGACGAUCCGUAGCUGGUCUGAGAGGAUGAUCAGCCACACUGGAACUGAGACACGGUCCAGACUCCUACGGGAGGCAGCAGUGGGGGAUAUUGGACAAUGGGCGCAAGCCUGAUCCAGCCAUACCGCGUGGGUGAAGAAGGCCUUCGGGUUGUAAAGCCCUUUUGUUGGGAAAGAAAAGCAGCAGGUUAAUACCCCGCUGUUCUGACGGUACCCAAAGAAUAAGCACCGGCUAACUUCGUG
rnacentral:rRNA from 1 species